rnacentral:rRNA from 1 species
UACAGAGGUCUCAAGCGUUGUUCGGAUUCAUUGGGCGUAAAGGGUGUGUAGGUGGCGCCGUAAGUCGGGUGUGAAAUUUCGGAGCUUAACUCCGAAACUGCAUUCGAUACUGCGGUGCUUGAGGACUGGAGAGGAGACUGGAAUUCAUGGUGUAGCAGUGAAAUGCGUAGAUAUCUGGAGGAACACCGGUGGCGAAGGCGGCAUCCUGGACCGGUAUUGACACUGAGGCGCGAAGGCCAGGGGAGCAAACGGG